rnacentral:rRNA from 1 species
GACGAACGCUGGCGGCGCGCUUAACACAUGCAAGUCGAACGGAAAGGCCUGCUUUCCCUUGUGGAUUGCGGGUACUCGAGUGGCGAACGGGUGAGUAACACGUGAGUAAUCUGCCCCCAACUUGGGUAUAAGCCUGGGAAACUGGGUCUAAUUCCCGAUAGGACUGCAGGGUGGUGCCUGUGGUGGAAAACGAUUUUCUAGUGGUUGGGGAUGAGCUCGCGGCCUAUCAGCUUGUUGGUGGGGUAAUGGCCUACCAAGGCGGCGACGGGUAGCCGGCCUGAGAGGGUGGACGGCCACAUUGGGACUGAGAUACGGCCCAGACUCCUACGGGAGGCAGCAGUGGGGAAUAUUGCACAAUGGGCGGAAGCCUGAUGCAGCGACGCCGCGUGGGGGAUGACGGCCUUCGGGUUGUAAACUCCUUGCGACCGCGAGGAAGCCACCUGGUUGGAAGGGUGGUGACGGUAGUGGUAGAAGAAGCACCGGCUAACUACGUG